rnacentral:rRNA from 1 species
UACGUAGGGGGCAAGCGUUGUCCGGAAUCAUUGGGCGUAAAGCGCGCGUAGGUGGCCCGGUAAGUCCGCUGUAAAAGUCCAGGGCUCAACCCUGGAAAGCCGGUGGAUACUGUCGGGCUCGAGUCCGGAAGAGGCGAGUGGAAUUCCUGGUGUAGCGGUGGAAUGCGCAGAUAUCAGGAGGAACACCGAUGGCGAAGGCAGCUCGCUGGGACGGUACUGACACUGAGGCGCGAAAGCGUGGGGAGCGAACAGG